ACGCAAUAGAUACCCUGGUAGUCCACGCCGUAAACUAUGGAUGCUAGCCGUAUGGGGUAUCGACCCCCUAUGUGGCGAAAGCUAACGCGUUAAGCAUCCCGCCUGUGGAGUACGAGCGCAAGCUUAAAACAUAAAGGAAUUGACGGGGACCCGCACAAGCGGUGGAGCGUGUUGUUUAAUUCGAUGGUAAGCGAAGAACCUUACCCAGGUUUGACAUCCUUGGAAGCACUUCGAAAGAAGAGUGUGCCUUCGGGAACCAAGUGACAGGUGUUGCAUGGCCGUCGUCAGCUCGUGUCGUGAGAUGUUUGGUUAAGUCCAUCAACGAGCGCAACCCUUGUGAUUAGUUGAAUUUUUCUAAUCAGACUGCCCUGGUAACAGGGAGGAAGGGGGGAUGAUGUCAGGUCAGUAUUACCCUUACACCUGGGGCUACAAACACGCUACAAUGGCCGGUACAAAGGGCUGCCAAGUCGCGAGACGGAGCAAAUCCCAUCAAAGCCGGUCUCAGUUCGGAUAAGAGGCUGAAACUCGCCUCUUUG
rnacentral:rRNA from 1 species